rnacentral:rRNA from 1 species
UACGAAGGGUGCAAGCGUUACUCGGAAUUACUGGGCGUAAAGCGUGCGUAGGUGGUUUGUUAAGUCUGUUGUGAAAGCCCCGGGCUCAACCUGGGAAUGGCAAUGGAUACUGGCGAGCUAGAGUGCGGUAGAGGAAGGUGGAAUUCCCGGUGUAGCGGUGAAAUGCGUAGAGAUCGGGAGGAACACCAGUGGCGAAGGCGGCCUUCUGGACCAGCACUGACACUCAAGCACGAAAGCGUGGGGAGCAAACAGG